rnacentral:rRNA from 1 species
UACGUAGGGUGCAAGCGUUAAUCGGAAUUACUGGGCGUAAAGCGUGCGCAGGCGGUUCGCUAAGACAGAUGUGAAAUCCCCCGGGCUUAACCUGGGAACUGCAUUUGUGACUGGCGGGCUAGAGUAUGGCAGAGGGGGGGUAGAAUUCCACGUGUAGCGGUGAAAUGCGUAGAGAUCGGGAGGAACACCAGUGGCGAAGGCGGCUCGCUGGGCCGGACCUGACGCUGGAGACGCGAAGGCGUGGGGAGCGAACGGG